AGAGACUUAGGAUAAAAACUUAGACCAGGAGCCUUCAAAGCUCCAAGCAGGAGUGAAAACCUCCUAGUCCCUG
ensembl:Mt_tRNA